rnacentral:rRNA from 1 species
UACGUAGGGUGCAAGCGUUGUCCGGAAUUAUUGGGCGUAAAGAGCUCGUAGGCGGCUUGUUACGUCUGCUGUGAAAUCUCGGGGCUCAACCCCGAGCCUGCAGUGGAUACGGGCUAGCUAGAGUGCGGUAGGGGAGACUGGAAUUCCUGGUGUAGCGGUGAAAUGCGCAGAUAUCAGGAGGAACACCGGUGGCGAAGGCGGGUCUCUGGACCGAUACUGACGCUGAGGAGCGAAAGCGUGGGGAGCGAACAGG